ACGCUUCUCCCAGAUAACGGUUGCUAUAUACUAGGAUUUUCGUUCGAGAGCGGAAGAAAUCGAUCGAUGGGUCGACCAAAUUUCCCCAAUAUUCCCCUCGAACAAAUAAGUUUCCCAAAUAUGUCCAAAUCCCUAGCGGCGGCCGCUGGUCUCUCCGGUCUCCACUCCACCCGCGCUCGCCGGCGCUGCCAGCCCGCCACCCCUUGACCUCGACGGGCCACGGCUCCGCCUGCCUACCUGCCCACGCCGCCGCUCGUCUCUCCACCCGUGCACGCCGGCCCCGCCGCUCCCUGCCUCCCUGUUCGGCUGCUCAGGGGAGGAGGCAGAGGAAGCGGCCAGCCGCACACGGUCAGGCGACAGAGGCAGUUUCCAGCAGCAGCAGCAGGUCUUUCCCCCCUGCACUUCCCGCUCUUCUAUGUGUACAAUCUUUCUGUGCCACACAGCCACACCUUGUCUGAAUUUCAUGGCUUGUAAGGUGUAAUAGUAGAAAACACCACGGAAGCCUAAUCCCGAAGUUUUUGCUUUCGUC
rnacentral:lncRNA from 1 species